GCUCAGGACGAACGCUGGCGGCGUGCCUAAUACAUGCAAGUCGAGCGGACAGAAGGGAGCUUGCUCCCGGAUGUUAGCGGCGGACGGGUGAGUAACACGUGGGUAACCUGCCUGUAAGACUGGGAUAACUCCGGGAAACCGGAGCUAAUACCGGAUAGUUCCUUGAACCGCAUGGUUCAAGGAUGAAAGACGGUUUCGGCUGUCACUUACAGAUGGACCCGCGGCGCAUUAGCUAGUUGGUGAGGUAACGGCUCACCAAGGCGACGAUGCGUAGCCGACCUGAGAGGGUGAUCGGCCACACUGGGACUGAGACACGGCCCAGACUCCUACGGGAGGCAGCAGUAGGGAAUCUUCCGCAAUGGACGAAAGUCUGACGGAGCAACGCCGCGUGAGUGAUGAAGGUUUUCGGAUCGUAAAGCUCUGUUGUUAGGGAAGAACAAGUGCAAGAGUAACUGCUUGCACCUUGACGGUACCUAACCAGAAAGCCACGGCUAACUACGUGCCAGCAGCCGCGGUAAUACGUAGGUGGCAAGCGUUGUCCGGAAUUAUUGGGCGUAAAGGGCUCGCAGGCGGUUUCUUAAGUCUGAUGUGAAAGCCCCCGGCUCAACCGGGGAGGGUCAUUGGAAACUGGGAAACUUGAGUGCAGAGUAGGAGAGAUGGAAUUCCACGUGUAGCGGUGAAAUGCGUAGAGAUGUGGAGGAACACCAGUGGCGAAGGCGACUCUCUGGUCUGUAACUGACGCUGAGGAGCGAAAGCGUGGGGAGCGAACAGGAUUAGAUACCCUGGUAGUCCACGCCGUAAACGAUGAGUGCUAAGUGUUAGGGGGUUUCCGCCCCUUAGUGCUGCAGCUAACGCAUUAAGCACUCCGCCUGGGGAGUACGGUCGCAAGACUGAAACUCAAAGGAAUUGACGGGGGCCCGCACAAGCGGUGGAGCAUGUGGUUUAAUUCGAAGCAACGCGAAGAACCUUACCAGGUCUUGACAUCCUCUGACAACCCUAGAGAUAGGGCUUUCCCUUCGGGGACAGAGUGACAGGUGGUGCAUGGUUGUCGUCAGCUCGUGUCGUGAGAUGUUGGGUUAAGUCCCGCAACGAGCGCAACCCUUGAUCUUAGUUGCCAGCAUUCAGUUGGGCACUCUAAGGUGACUGCCGGUGACAAACCGGAGGAAGGUGGGGAUGACGUCAAAUCAUCAUGCCCCUUAUGACCUGGGCUACACACGUGCUACAAUGGACAGAACAAAGGGCUGCGAGACCGCAAGGUUUAGCCAAUCCCACAAAUCUGUUCUCAGUUCGGAUCGCAGUCUGCAACUCGACUGCGUGAAGCUGGAAUCGCUAGUAAUCGCGGAUCAGCAUGCCNGCGGUGAAUACCGUUCCCGGGNCCUUGUACACACCGCCCGUCACACCACGAGAGUUUGCAACACCCGAAGUCGGUGAGGUAACCUUUAUGGAGCCAGC
rnacentral:rRNA from 1 species